AGCACCACACCUUUUAACAGUGCCACUCCUUGGGCUGAGCAUAUAUAAACCAUUACAUCUACAAUAGCAGUCCUUCAUUUGAUGCAUUUCUGAGACAUAGGCCACUUAUCUCUGGACCUUAUUGGGCGGGACUCUCUAAGGACCUAUACUGUGCUAUCUCGUGAAUUCUCAGGAGCAAUGAGUCUACUCUAGACUCACUCACAGGCCCACAUCAGCACCAAGGACAGCACCAGGGAGCCUUGCAGCCAGGAAGAAGACUUACAGGCCAGGGCAAUCUUGAUGUCUGCAGCCUUGAAGGGUCUGGUCUCUUCCUUAUGCUCCACUGUGUUCCCAGCCUCCAAGGGGAUGCCCAGUGAGGGUUGUGUUGGGUGGAGAGCUGAGAUGGUUAGAGUGGUCGAUUACAGAUGUCUGUUGGGUCACCUACGUCUGAAUGUAGCCAGUUCUAGGUAAGAAUGGCUAGAAUUUGAGGGCUUCUACAUCCUACCCACACCUGUACAUGUACGGGAUUCCUAUUGUCAUAAGUUAUCAGAGAAUAAAAAAGUUUAUUAUUUAAUUAGGAAAAGAAAAAAAGGUGUUCUUGCUCUAAUGAAGGACAGGGAACAACAGAUAGUGUUAACAACAAUUGCAGUAAGAGAUUUGCUUAAAUUACAAACACAGGCCUGGGGAGAUGGCUCGGUGGUUAUUUGCUUGCUUUCCAAGGGUGAUGAUCAGAGGUUGAUCUCCAGAACACAUAAAAAAAGUGCCAGGCUCCAUGAUGCUUGAAAGCCCAGUGUGGGGAGGCAGACUCUUAAACCCCUGGGGCUGAUUGUCAGGCUAGUAUAGUGUAGUCAGAGUUCUGGGGCAAUGAGAGACCCUGUCUCAGAAACCAAGAUUGCUGUUUCUUGAGGAAUAACACAACAAUUAAUCCUCUGGCCUCUCUACAAAGUGUGUGCACACACAUGCAAAUACAACAUGCAUAUACAAACACACACACACACACACACACACACACACACACACACACACCAGAUGUUGACCAGUGUAGGCAUAGUAAAACUAGGAACUAGGAGAGGAAGCUGAUAAUAUGGACAGAGAAUAGAUUUUUUUUUUAAGCCUAAAGCCAUUUGAACAUUCAGUCAACAAACAUUUAUGGAUAACCCACUAACUUUCAGUCAAGGUUCUAUGUUGCAGGUUUGUGAUCCCAGAUAGAUGGGAAGACAAGGUAGGGAAUGACAAGCUUUAGGAUUGCCUGGGCAGCUUAAUGAGACCUCGUCUCAGAAGGUAACAGGAGGGCCAGUGAGAUGACACUUGAUGCCAAGCCUGAUGUGACCUAAACUCAGUCUCCUGAAUCCACAGUCUCAGGAACCAUUGAUGCUGCUUAGCUGGAGUCAAAAAUUUAGCAGUAAUUAAGAAGAAACCAUGGAGACCCACCCGUCACCACACCAGGCUGAUCUGAGAGGGAUAGAUGACCAGAAACCUGCCCUCGAUUGCAUGGCAAAAACAGGCCCUAGACUCAUAGAGCCCCACCUGCCACCACAGAAUGCAGCACCAGAGGAAGACAUCCAUAGACCAGUCCGCCACCAGCCACAGUGGACCUGCUUGCCACUGUAGCACUCGGGUAGGGUAAAGGAGGCCAGCCAUAGGCCGGCUGGCCACGUGGGCCCCCUGCAGUAAGAGCCAGUAAGUACAGUGCCAAGUGUUGGUGGACUCAUGGGAGAGGAAGAGGGGCUGAACAGCCCGAGAGUUAUGAAGAGAGAUGGAACUGGAGAUAGGAGGUAGCGAGGAGUAGUCUCGUGAGUAGCCAGCCCCACCACCUGAGGCUAUGGUGCCACUGAGGGCCGUCUGGGUGUGUGGUCAUGUAGCUGCAGAGAUGAGUGUCUAUGUCCAUAAUCUGUAGAGAGGUGUGUAGAUACCUCGAGACCCGCUAUUACCACCAGAGACCAUGAAGGCAUUCCUAGUCUGGGACCACAGAGAUAUACAGAGGUUGUGUAGAACUGGCCCUGCCACCUUACUGGUUAUGGCACUCUGGAGAGCUGGCCCCGCAUCUCCCCAGUGGCAGAACUCAGGAGAGGGGUUCCUGCAUGUCUCCCAGGUGGUAUAGUGUGGCUGGCCCUGGUGGUGGUCGUGGGGGCUCAGGUGAGUUGGUCCUGAGGGUGAGAGUAUGGGAGACCUCUCCACUCAUGAGAUGGUGUGGUGCAGUUGCUCCUCCAAGUACCCCCACUCCUUAUUCCCUGUGGCAGUUGGGAGAGCUUGAUAUGGGGUCCUGAGAGUGGGUGAACUGGCCCUGCCCCUCACCAGCUGCAGCACUCAGGAGAGAGGGCCCUGCACCUCACCAGGGCAGCACAGCAGAGCUGACCUUGGUGGAAGGGGUGAGGGUGAGCCAUUCUGAGAGCAUGAACUCAGGACAGCUGGUCCCACAACUCCUCUGACACCAGGUGGUUUGAGCACAGGGUUGAUGCCCUUAGCUGCCCUCCCCAUUCCACCCCCUUGAUACCCGAGGAAUUCAGUGGAGAGCUGGUCUAGGGUUGUGAGAGUGGGAGAGCUGGCCCUGUCCUCACUGGCCGCAUCACUUGGGAGGCUGGGCUCCGAGCUCUGGAGCACAGUGAAGCUGGCUCCGGAGCCAUGGGUGCAGGUGAGCUGACCCAGAAGACAUAAGAGCAGGAGAGCUAAUCCUGACUGUAGUAGAGUCCUGGGGUGCUCUGCUAGAACACACAUCGGUGUGGAUGUGGGAGAGCCGGCCGGUUGGCCAGCUCAGUUACUGCCCAGGCCCAGAUCCAGGCCUCCACAAAAAUCCACAUCAUCUUGGAACUGUUGGAUCAUGUGAAAGGGUCAUCUCUGCCGAUCUGAAGCUGUAUAGGCUCCCCAGGAUAACAGGGAGGAGUCCUGUUGAGGAUCCAACGUUGAUGGUGUCACAGAAGCCAGAGACCUGGAAUCAAUGACUCACUGCAGUGCACAUUCGCAAGCCAAGCUGUGUGCACAGAGGGGUGUACUGUAGGACACACUGUGACAUAUUUCAGCUUCCAUGAUGAAACAUUUUCUAUAA
rnacentral:sRNA from 1 species